ensembl:lncRNA
AAAAAUCAAUAUGAAUUUAUAUUAAGGAUUUCUCUGGCUAGCAGGAAAUCAAUAUAUUCAUAAUAAAGCUUUUUAUUCUUCCUUUUCAAUAACGAACGAGCUCGUGUGAGCAGUGACAUCUCUCUCAAGGACUUUUGAAGGAGGUGGGUAAUUUUGAGAGUGGGUGUACAGAUGUGUGGACAGGCUGCAUGAAAAAAAAAAAAUACAAAAAAUAAACCAUAUCAAAGAGAGAGGGAAAUUGGUUAAUAAAGUAUCCAAAAACUAAUCUAUCAACAGUCAGUGGAUGGCAUAAGUUUUAAUGUGUGUGUGUUUGUUGUGGGGUCUUCAGAUUUCUAAUUCCGAUUCAACAGGUCACCUUUGUUUCAAAUCACACAUACUACUUCUCUCUCAUUCUACCCGCUCCGCCUUUCCACCCUACAGCCAAAUCCCAGUCAUGGUGUGAUUUAUGGGGACGCAGUAACACAUGGGACGUCAGAGCCAAUCAUCAUUCAUCUCUAAAGAAAGAACAGCUCACGGUUGAGCUCCCAUGGGCAGCACCCCCAGCAGAACAGGAAGUGACAUCAUUUUGGAAGGAAAACCAGCACUGGUCACUAAGUAUAGAGCGCUGCAAGGCUAGUCUUGUAGUUAGCAUCACCCUGGUUCCCUCAACAAAAAGACAAUAGGAUUUUCCACUGGAUUAGAUUUUUGCAACAACAAAAAAGCAGCUCUGUGAUGAACAGAAGUUUAUGAUGCAUGCAAGUUUUAUUCAUUAUAAUAAUCUUAACAAAUGAACACAAUUUGUAUAAAUUUUGAAGCCAAUCACCAAAGCAAAAUGUAGACUAUAAACAAACUAUACCAUGGUCACCGUCACCAACUCUUUCGGUCUAUAUUUUAAAAAGCAUUUCACUAAAUGUCAGAGUUAGAACAGUUUUCAAAAGGCUGUAAAAGCAGACUAGUUAAUAGACAGGUUUGCCUGUUUGGUCUGAUGUUCAAUGUCCCCAACAACCUCUGUUGUUGCAUUUAGCCACUUGUUAACACUGUUUUAAAGAAUCCCAAUGGGGGUUUUACUGAAGUCAUAGAAAAAACAUGAAAAUAUCUUGAGCUUGUUUUGACCACAGACCAUAUAUCAGGCAUUUAACCAAAUACCCUUUUAAAAAAUAACACUGACUUUUAAUACGAAAUACUAAAACUUUCCAUGUUUUGGCCAACAAAAAUACAUCAUCCCUGCAGCUCUCUAUUAGAAAUUUGAUGAAUUCUCUGAUGUUUUGUGGAUUUAGCUGGUUCGUCUCACUUUAAAAUGUUUCACCCUUCUUGAUAAAAUCUGAGAAAUUGUUAAGAUUGACUAUUUAAAAAUCAAGAUGAACUUAUUCCCACUUUAUUCCCAUCUUUUUAGGCAUCCUUCCUAUUAAUUGUGUAAAUACUCAACCUGUUGAAAGUUUUUGAGCUUAACCAGAACAGACUUCUGAAAGUCUG